AUACGUAGGUGACAAGCGUUAUCCGGAUUUACUGGGCGUAAAGGGCGUGUAGGCGGUCUUGCAAGUCAGAAGUGAAAUUCCUGAGCUCAACUCGGGCGCUGCUUCUGAAACUGCAGGACUUGAGUGCUGGAGGGGAUAGCGGAAUUCCUAGUGGAGCGGUAAAAUGCGCAGAUAUUAGGAAGAACACCGGGGGCGAAGGCGGCAAUCUGGACAGUAACUGACGCUGAGGCGCGAAAGCUGGGGGAGCAAACAGGAUUAGAUACCCUGGUAGUCCACGCUGUAAACGAUGGAUACUAGGUGUAGUGGGUAUCGACUCCCUCUGUGCAGCAGUUAACACAAUAAGUAUUCCGCCUGGGGAGUACGGCCGCAAGGUUGAAACUCAAAGGAAUUGACGGGG
rnacentral:rRNA from 1 species